rnacentral:rRNA from 1 species
AGAGUUUGAUCCUGGCUCAGAUUGAACGCUGGCGGCAUGCCUAACACAUGCAAAGUCGAACGGUAACAGGUCUUCGGAUGCUGACGAGUGGCGGACGGGUGNGUAAUGCGUAGGAAUCUGUCUUUUAGUGGGGACAACCCAGGGAAACUUGGGCUANUACCGCNUGAGCCCUGAGGGGAAAGCGGGGAUCUUCGGACCUCGCGCUAAGAGAGGAGCCUACGUCCGAUUAGCUAGUGGCGGGGUAAAGGCCCACCAAGGCGACGAUCGGAGCUGGUCUGAGAGGAUGAUCCGCCACACUGAACUGAGACAC